rnacentral:rRNA from 1 species
GACGAACGCUGGCGGCGUGCCUAAUACAUGCAAGUUGAGCGCUGAAGGUUGGUACUUGUACCAACUGGAUGAGCAGCGAACGGGUGAGUAACGCGUGGGGAAUCUGCCUUUGAGCGGGGGACAACAUUUGGAAACGAAUGCUAAUACCGCAUAAAAACUUUAAACACAAGUUUUAAGUUUGAAAGAUGCAAUUGCAUCACUCAAAGAUGAUCCCGCGUUGUAUUAGCUAGUUGGUGAGGUAAAGGCUCACCAAGGCGAUGAUACAUAGCCGACCUGAGAGGGUGAUCGGCCACAUUGGGACUGAGACAAGGCCCAAACUCCUACGGGAGGGAGCAGUAGGGAAUCUUCGGCAAUGGACGAAAGUCUGACCGAGCAACGCCGCGUGAGGGAAGAAGGUUUUCGGAUCGUAAAACUCUGUUGGUAGAGAAGAAAGUUGGUGAGAGUGGAAAGCUCAUCAAGUGACGGUAACUACCCAGAAAGGGACGGCUAACUACGUG